rnacentral:rRNA from 1 species
AGCGAACGCUGGCGGCAGGCCUAACACAUGCAAGUCGAGCGGGCACCGCAAGGUGUCAGCGGCAGACGGGAGAGUAACACGUGGGAACGUGCCCUUUGGUUCGGAACAACUCCGGGAAACUGGAGCUAAUACCGGAUAAGCCCUUACGGGGAAAGAUUAUCGCCAAAGGAGCGGCCCGCGUCGGAUUAGCUAGUUGGUGAGGUAAUGGCUCACCAAGGCGACGAUCCGUAGCUGGUCUAAGAGGAUGAUCAGCCUCACUGGGACCGAGACACGGCCCAGACUCCUACGGGAGGCAGCAGUGGGGAAGUAUUGGACAAUGGGCGCAAGCCUGAUCCAGCCAUGCCGCGUGAGUGAUGAAGGCCCUAGGGUUGUAAAGCUCUUUUGUGCGGGAAGAUAAUGACGGUACCGCAAGAAUAAGCCCCGGCUAACUUCGUGCCAGCCGCCGCCGUAAU